CCCUCCUCAGGGCCCCAAGGUUGCACAACCUUUGCAGCAUGACGCAACUCCAGAAAGUGUAACACAUCCACACACAUGACAUCCACACACAUGACAUCCACACACAUCCACGCACAUGACUGCAAGGAGACAAUCCCUAGGUCAAAAUGCUAUCGGGCCAGCAUGCAUGCAUACACACAUACUGCCAGCAUACCAUACACGUGUGUUUCCUGCUUUUGCGGUGGCAGUCGCCGAUCACCACGGGCUAAAAGGAUGCCAACAAGCAUCGCAUCGACCAUCCGCAACGCAUCCCAGUCUCCUAGUCCCCCG
rnacentral:lncRNA from 1 species